UACGUAGGGUGCGAGCGUUAAUCGGAAUUACUGGGCGUAAAGCGUGCGUAGGCGGUUGGCAAAGUCAGCUGUGAAAGCCCCGGGCUUAACCUGGGAAUGGCGGUUGAAACUAGUCGACUAGAAUCUGGCAGAGGGGGGUGGAAUUCCACGUGUAGCAGUGAAAUGCGUAGAGAUGUGGAGGAACACGAUGGCGAAGGCAGCCCCCUGGGCUGAGAUUGGACGCUCAGGCACGAAAGCGCUGGGGAGC
rnacentral:rRNA from 1 species